GAAUUUUGGUGAUAUUUUUAAUUAUCUUGUUUUCAGGACCGCCCCAACAUGAAGUGUUGAAGCAAUUCUUUGUAUGCAUUAAAUUUCGACCUUACACUAACAAAGAUAGCCACAGCAGAAGUUAUUAUCACUGUUAAUUUAAACAGAGUAAAGAGCCCAUGACUUUUAAGCAAAUUUUCCCUUUUAACCAAAUUUUCAAUUAAAUAAAGGGCUAACACCAAUUUUAAGUAAUAAAAUGGUAUUCCUCUCGAAGAUUUCAUAAGAAUUGAAAUAGCACUUAAAAGUAAUGGAGUUUUAUGUAAUUUGGCCUAUAGAGUAAUGACAAUAAAGCAAAACAUCUAACUGGCUCAAAACAGACCUUCUAACCAACAAUAACUGAGGUUCAACUUGCUACCUCCUCAGAGUACAGGUUUCUUUUUGGCUACAAGCAACAAAAUAUUUUCAAAUUCAACAUCUUUGACAGAAUGACAGUUACCUCAAAACAUUUUAAAUGAAACCCUAAAUAGUGUGGAAAUUGAAAACUUCAUCAAGCAGUUGACCUGAAACUUCAUCGAACAAUUAAAAAAGAGUUGAAGUUCAUCACAGCACCAAAAUAAUAAAGGUACUAGCCAAAAAAAAAUCCAAAGCUUUGCUCCAAUUAGCAAUAAUUCUUUAAAAUUUGUCAACUAUCCAAGCAACAUGGAA
rnacentral:misc_RNA from 1 species